rnacentral:lncRNA from 1 species
CUCGUUCUUCCCUUCACCAAAAUUUCAAUGUUCAUAAAUCAUAAAUUUUAAUUGGCAAUAUUGAUUAUUUAAUGUUAAAUACUAAUCAAAAUCAUUCAAUAAACAAGAAUUGUACAUUAAUCAACAUCAGAAAAUUUUCUUAAACGACUAAAAGGAAUGGUUUAUGAACUGAGAGAGCAAGAAACUUCAGGUAAUGUAAUAAUGAAGUGCACUCCUCCCAUGUUAUAUGAUUCUUUAGCAUUACAUUACUAAUUAACCUGUUCUUGGAUGAAUCAAUGUUGUCACUUGUCAGCCAAUAUUCAAAAAUAAGAGUUUUCAAAUCCUGUCACCGCAAGAAUUGCUUCUUCAGAUCUGAAAAUAUUUUAAGGUAUAUGAAACUCAUCCUUAUUAAAUCCAACAGUCAACAUGAGGCAAAUCCAACAGUCAACAUGAAUGUUUUUUUUUUUUAUCAAGAAUAGUCACUGAUCCACUAGGCUAAAAUUAAAUUGACAAGGUGUGGUAGAAAACAGAACAAGAGAAACAAGCAAAAUCUAAUUGAUAACAUAGGAAGGUCACUAAGGUAGUGUUUGUUUCAUUAAGCAUUAAGCAUUAAGUGCUUCUUAAGUGGUGGAUCAGGUUAAAAUUCAGAAAUAAGUGUUUUUUAAGUUAUUUGUUUAGAACAAGCAUUAAGAACUAAUUGGGAUAUUUCAGCGAUUUUGGUCCAGCGAAAAUCUCACGCUUAAUUUAACUUCUUAAUGCUUGUUGUAUUAUUUAGACAAUUCUACCCUUAUAAAAAUUGUUUUUAUCAUCCAUAACCAUUAAGUAAUAUCACAGUCAGAUUCAUUGGCUUAGUUAAUGGUCUUUCCUUUGCUGAUCACUUUAAAAUUUUUACCAUAAGUUCCUGAAGAUUUCUGUUAUAUCAUAUCUAAAAUUUAGAAUUUUUAGUCGAUCGGUCUGAAAGUUACAGAUUUUUUGUGGUUGUUAUGUUUUACAAGAAAAAUUACGUUACAGUCAGAUUCGUUUGCUUAAUAAGGGGAUUUUCUUUUGUCUGAUCACUUUAAAAGUUUUACUAUAUGUUCCUGACGAUUUCUAUUGUAUCAUAUCCAAAAUUUGGAAUUUUUAAACGAGUCGUUUGAAAGUUACAGAUUUUUUUGUGAUUGUCAUGUUUUAGAAGAAAAAUUACAGUCAGAUUCGUUUGCUUAGUAAGGGAUCUUUCCUUUGUCUGUUCACUUUGAAAUAUUUUUCAUAUGUUCAUGACGAUUUCUGUUGUACCAUAUCCAAAAUUUAGAAUUUUUAGACGAGUCGUUUAAAAGGUUAAGAAUUUUUUUUAAAUAUCAUGUUUUAGAAGAAAAAUUGGCGUGUAUAGUUUUGUUGUUAGAACAUUUUUCUGUUUGUACGACGUAACAAUAUAGUGUAGUUACACAAAUAUUUUGGCUAAGGGUGAAACAUUCUCAUCUGAAGCACAACACUGAAUGGUCAACUUGCGCAACCAGAGUGCAAAUCAACUUUAGGUUUUUGGGUUAUGUGAUAAGGUACUGUGUAUUGUCAAAAUACUUUUCCAAUAAUAGGGUAACAUGGUCAAAAUCACACUUAUGCAUAAACAAACAAAUUAAAAACAGAACUUCUUAAAAAUGAUAACCAAACAACUUUUCCAGCAUUCAGUGUUCAGCAUCCAGCAUUAAGUAUCCAGCAUUAAGUAUCCAGCAUUCAGCAUUUUAAACAAACACACCCUAAGCCUUUAGAGUGUAAUAAUCCACAUUGUUAUUGACUUGAAUUUGAUAUUUUCUUGUUUACUUGUUGCUUGAUAUCU